rnacentral:rRNA from 1 species
GUCUCUGCUCUUCGGGGCAGAGCGCAGUUAUUAGACCAAAACCAGCCGUAUCUUUCGGGGUACGCUCUUUUGGUGACUCUGGAUAACCUUCAGCCGAUCGCAUGGCCUCGUGCCGGCGACGUAUCUUUCAAGUGUCUGCCCUAUCAACUUUCGAUGGUACGUGAUAUGCCUACCAUGGUGAUAACGGGUAACGGGGAAUCAGGGUUCGGUUCCGGAGAGGGAGCCUGAGAAAUGGCUACCACAUCCAAGGAUGGCAGCAGGCGCGCAAAUUACCCACUCCCAGCUUGGGGAGGUAGUGACGAAAAAUAACAAUGCGGGACUCUAAGAGGCCCCGUAAUUGGAAUGAGUACACCUUAAAUCGUUUAACGAGUAUCAAUUGGAGGGCAAGUCUGGUGCCAGCAGCCGCGGUAAUUCCAGCUCCAAUAGCGUAUAUUAAAGUUGCUGCAGUUAAAAAGCUCGUAGUUGGAUCUGGGGCUUGAGGUCGCUGUCUAUCGUUUCGGCGAUGACGGUGAUGCUCAGCUCUGCUUGCCGGUGACUGUUGCGGUGUUCAUAAUUGAGCGCUGUAGCAGCACGGCACGUUUACUUUGAAAAAAUUAGAGUGCUCAAAGCGUGCUUGUCGCUUGAAUAAUGUUGCAUGGAAUAAUGGAAUAGGACCUCGGUUCUAUUUUGUUGGUUUUCGGAGCUUGAGGUAAUGAUUAAGAGGGACGAACGGGGGCAUUCGUAUUGCGGUGUUAGAGGUGAAAUUCUUGGAUCGCCGCAAGACGGACUACUGCGAAAGCACUUGCCAAGAACGCUUUCAUUAAUUAAGAACGAAAGUCAGAGGUUCGAAGACGAUCAGACACCGUCCUAGUUCUGACCAUAAACGAUGCCGACCAGCGAUCCGUAGUGGUUGCUUUAUGGACCCUACGGGCAGCCUCCGGGAAACCAAAGUAUUUGGGUUCCGGGGGAAGUAUGGUUGCAAAGCUGAAACUUAAAGGAAUUGACGGAAGGGCACACCAGGAGUGGAGCCUGCGGCUUAAUUUGACACAACACGGGAAAACUCACCCGGUCCGGACACCGUAAGGAUUGACAGACUGAUAGCUCUUUCUUGAUUCGGUGGAUGGUGGUGCAUGGCCGUUCUUAGUUGGUGGAGUGAUUUGUCUGGUUAAUUCCGAUAACGAACGAGACUCUAGCCUGCUAAGUAGUGUGUCUAUUGUGAUAUGGUAUACACUUCUUAGAGGGACAAGUGGCAUUUAGCCACGCG